GUCAAAUCAGUGAGCAGCUGCUCUUGAUCAUUGUCACAAAGCUACACCAUCCCACUCGUGUUAGAAGUUCAGAACGAGAAAGUGUAGGCUAUUUAGAAAUAAUGACGCACAAAUUGAAAGGCAUUCAAUGAAAUUAGGAUUUCUAUCAGCCUAAUUGAGGUGUAUAGGUGGUGAGCCGUAGCAAGCUAUCUGCAUGAGUUUUCGAGAUGAUAGAUCUCUGAGAAGCUGUUUUUUUGUUGCUUGUUUAAAAAAAUAUAUAUAUUGUGUAUUUUUACUUCUUCUGAAAACAUUUACGUUUCUUGGCAAUGUCAAUUCUUGCAAAUUUUCACAAAAUACUGACUUUCAUGUCCGCUAGCUGGACAGGCAAACGCCGCGGAGAACUAAACUGUAAACCAAUUAAAACGUGUGUACUAUUCAUGGUACGAUCUACAAUCACGUUAUCCGUAACUAAUGUAGAGACAGCUGGUAAUGAAGAGUUCGACAGAGAUCUCCGUCUGACACUGCUAUCAGGUAAAUAAUGUUUUAUUUAUUUGUAAUCUAACCAUUUCGUUAUAGAAACGUGAUACCAUCAACCCAAGCUGUAAAAUGAUUCCUAAUUUAGAACACAGCAAUCUUAGUAAUGUAGCUAGCUUGUUGGUUAGCUAGCUAGUUACAACAAGUAGAUCUGUUGCUAGCUACCUGAAGCAGAUAGCCUUAUCACUAGCUAGCAUGUCAUUCCACGACAAUUCCACGAAUUUUAGCUAUAAAUUUAUUCCAAGUAAUAAUUUAAGAUUACAAAAAAUCUAUAGGACAAGUAGUGUACAUCUACUUCAGUCAUCAGGGCAGGACCCACUAAUUUCAUUCAUACUGACAAAUAGUAAAUGCAACUUUAUCCCUGUCAAUAGUUGGAGUUGGAUGAAAACAUAGCACCCGGCCUCAGACUUUUAGGAUGUUCAUUUUCUAGCUCACAAAUUACAUUAUUUUGCUGUGAUGAUUUACUGUAUUUAGUUUAUUCUUGCCUUUCACUUUUGUGUCACAUGAUCUGUUUAGCUCUCAUUUGUCCUGCUCCCAGAGAUUAACCAAGUGCUAUUCACCAAGCAUGGACUGAUUCACUCACCUGUGAGGAGAACCAUCCUACAGCAGUUUGAACUAGACCUGCCGUCACUGUUUAGAUUUUGGGACCACAUAUGCAUUUGCCUGUUGUCUUUUCUUUGUGGAUUCUAUCUUACACAGUCUAGUGCAUUUUAGAGUUCAAGAACACCAACUGCAGAUAAAAGUGGUUGUUUGAGCAUCUUGAAGACUAAAUUCAAUGUAGAAUCAGUGUAACCGGUGACAAACAGAUUAUUUUACUAUUGUAACAAGCAGUGGUGAGAAUUCUAUUGUCCUCGUCAGGAGCCCAGACUUUUGCCAUAGAUGGUUGAGUUCUUGUCUCUGGACCACACAAGCUUCAGUCAGCUACAUUGGUGAUCAGAGUGGGAUCCUUUUGAUAUGCCUAUGAGGCCUGGGCACACAAAUGCUCCUAGAGAGAAGGUGGAAUACUAAAGUAUGUGUUGAUGACAGGUCUGCAGUCUCCAGAGGCCCAUGCUUUUGGCACUGAUGGAAAAGCUCUCAUUUCUUGACUGCAAUAUUGUAAGAUUGUGCCCUCCACAGCACUUGAUAUACAUUAAUUGGUAGGUUACGCUAUAUUUAUGUAGCCAGGUGGUAAAAGCGCAUAGCUGUAUUCAUUUUAAUCCACUAGUUGACACCAUCCCUUUUAAGAGAUUCAUAAACAAGGUGUGCCCGCGGUUAUGGGAUUGCGCAGUGUGUAAGAGUGAGAACAAGCAAUUACACUGGAGACCUGUUGAAAUCCAUCGUGGAUCCAAUGUUACUUUAGAUGGGUAAAUUACACUUUAUCUUCCUCUUGUACCGGAAUAUAUCUUAUUUUGCAUCAUCUGCAGUGUUUUAAUAGUUCAUUUUGUAAUAUUUAUGCCAGACUGUCAUGUUAGCCUGUUGAUACUUUCAGAUUGACAUGAGGAUGUUAGCUUCUUGCUAGCUGAAUACCAGUGCUCUCAGAACCACGUCGUGAAGUUGAUGAUAACAUUACUUGAAGUUGCAGUAUGGGUGAGAUGAGGAUCUACUGUUCCAUGUGGGGUUAGUGCAUCACCUGGACAGUGUGUUUAAAGUAGAGCCACUACAGUUUAUGCAUUUCACUUUGGACUUGUAGUACUCCGAUUGUUUUAUGCACUUAAUUUAUUUCACUUGAUUGUGAUUUGGACUGAACAUUACUUUAUGGUGACUUCAUCUUGUGGUGAUUUCCCUUCUACAUUAUCCUAUUUUAAAUUUAAGUUUUGACAGAAUAAACAACCCCAAAUUAGUUUGUCUUGUGCUGGGUUUACUUUCGCCAGGCUACAUUUAUAUACUGCUUAAGACACCUUUGCUAUUUGCCUCUGUACUCAAUAAAUGGCGCAUCAUUAUUUGUGAAGGUUUUCUUUGUUCAUAUGUAUAUACAUUAUGGAAAACAUGUCGCACACUCAGUCAUAAUUAGUCAAAUAAUGAAUGUAUUGGCAAGAUUUUGGCACCGUCA
ensembl:lncRNA